rnacentral:lncRNA from 10 species
CCAUUUUCCUGUGAGAGAAAUGAAAACCCACGAAGACUAAAUGUCCUGCCCGCUGUCCAGGUGCAGUGAGGGGCGUGGCCGGGACCAGAAUCCCUGCUUCCCUGUUCUCUAGUCAGUGCUGCUGCUGGAAACCAGAGUCUUCUUUUGUUUUCCCUCUCACCUCUGGCUGCCUCUCUCUCCCCUCAAAGGUCAGAGCAGUGCCAAGGACAGAAGAGAGAGUAGAUCCAGCCUUGGCCCUGCUAGGCUGGGCAGCCUGGCAGGUAGAGUCAGCAGGGAUAGAGCUUGCUUUCCUGUUCACGAUCUUCAGCCAAGUUCAGGGAGGUCUGAAUACUGAGGCCUUCAUAGCCACUGCACCCCAGGUAGCUCAGGAGAACCUCCGAGCGCAGGAGUGCAAAGGCUGGCAUUCUUCAGGCUCUGAGGCUGUCCCUUCCGGUGGAGGUGAACUGCUUCUUAUUGAUGUGGACAAGACUGUGGAUGGAGACUGACAGGAUCCUGGCUUGGGGGCCUUCCGGCAGGGCUGGCUGCUGGGCUGGCAGGCUCUGGCGCUCCCCUUCCCCAGAACUGACUUUGUUCCUGGCAGCCAUGGUGGCUGCACUAACCACAUUCUGCCUCCACCUUUGCACUAAGAAAAGCAAAUAAGCAGACCACAGAACUGUUUGCAUUUGCCCCAGAUGCUCCCUGGCUGCGGGAAGAGGUCAGUAGGGAGCAUGCAGGGAGAGGGGAAGGGAGACCAGCUUCUGCAGGGAGGGCACGCUGGAAUCUAGGCUUGGGGAGGGACGAAGGGAAGGCUUGUCCAGCCCAGCACAAGCCUGCGGAGGGGCACUGUGGGCACAGUGCAUGAAGUCUGAAGAGGUGAUGUGCUAGAUACCCCAAUCCCUGGCAUAUUCUGCAUUUCAAAACAGAGAAUAAGUAGUCUUGCCACUAUAAAGUGGCAAGAGCUGUUCCUUAGCAAGAGAAAGAGAAACAGAGACAGAGAGAAACAGACACAGAGAGACAGAGACGGAGACAGAAAAAUACACAGAGAAAUGGAGAGACAGAGAGAGAGACAUACAGAGAGACAAAGGCGUAAAGAGGCCCCCCGCACCCUAGGGAUAUGUUGUCAAGGGUGGCUUUUUUGUUAUGAAGAUUGCAGCCUAUUUUGCACGGCUGGCCGGCCUGGGGCUCCUGCCGUCAUUGCUGCCCCAGGGAAGGCUGCUCGCUGGCUUACUCCCAUCCCCUUGCCACUGGCAGCAAAACCAAGCUGGGUUAUGACAUCAGCGACUUUUCCCCUUCUCAGCCCCAGGGUAGAUGGGCCAGGUUGGAAAGCAGCAGGAAACUUUUCCAACACUAACAAACAAUGAGCUCAGGUAGCAAGCCCUGAUAUUAGAAAACGGGAGGGACCCUUAGGGGUUUCACUCAGCCUGAAAGGGAGCCAUGUCUUUCCCAGAGCCAAGUCCCAGUCCCUUUUCAGGGCAGCCAGCCAAGCUGGGAGAUUGGGAGCUGGAAAGAUGUCCCCUGAAAUACAGGUUUGGUGACUCUAACCGUGAAUGGCCCCGAUUCACAGGGGAGGGUUGCUGUUCCUUUGCCAUCCUUUGCCUAUUUGCAGCACUUGCUGAAAGAUAGAAAGAAACACCGAGACAGGAGCUUGGGCUGUAUAGGCAGGGGACAAAUGAAAUGUUUUCCUACUGUGUAAAAAGUUCAAGUGUUCCCAUAUAUGCAGAGCUUGGAACAAUGUCAUCAACUCCUCUUCGUUUUUUUCCAAACAACCUCCUUUAAGACACAGCAAACAGCAGUGCUGCGGAGGUAUGUCUAAUUGCAGAUACUUUUUGUUCAUCAUCGUAUUGAACGUCGUUGCGUGUUCCAGCAGCCAUCAACUUCCUCAGGAGGAAAAUUCAAUUGUGCACUGAGCGACAGCGUGAAGAGACCGGGCCAAGCAGGCAGGGUGCUGCAGGUCAACAAGGUGCUGCUGUGCUCCUGAAGCCUUCAGGAGCCUCAGCCUGAGAGCUCAGGAAAGGGUGGGGCUCCAACCCACCUGGCUUUCCGCCUUACUGAGCUCCAAACACAGGCUUGUUCCACAUCACGGAGAGCCCUUAUCCUGCAUGUGCGUCUCGCUCCCUGACAAGCCUAUUUGUGCCUUGUCACCAGAAAUGUACCUUUUUUCUUCUCUCAUCUGUCCCUGACACCCCCAGCUUAUCUAGCCUGAAGAGAGGCUAUCAAAAUGGUAAUAGCCAGAUGGAAAACAAGGAAAAAUAAGCCCUUUCCCAUAAGGAAGCAAUACGGAUUUUGGAACCGGAGAAAUUUCUACUAUUCUCCCAACAUCAUUCCCUCCGCCUUGGGUGUGCUUCCGAGAGGGUUGGAGGUGUCACCUGCCGUACCCUAGGACUGGCUGAGGGAAAACACACCUGAAGAUUUCCUGUAAAUGAAAAAGUGAAUCACUAAAAGGGGGAGCUGUCAUCCCCUGGCAUUUCUCUGUGCACAGGCGACCUAGUGUUGGGAUGGCAGCAGAACCCAGACAACUGAGCCAACACGUGGAGGGAAGCCCUCACUAGCCUGCAUUCGACUUGUGUGAGAGAGAAGUGAACGUUUACGUGCAAAGCCACUGAGCUUUUGUUGUUGUUCCUGCAGCACAGGGCAUUCUAACCUGCCUAAUACUGAAACGAGUACUGUUAGGCUUGAUCUGUGAAGAGGAGAACAUAAAAGGCCUGCAUAUUCUCUUUUAGGUCCUAAAAAUGCAGUGCUCUCUUCUUGGCCUUGCUGUGACCAGGCUGUUUAAAAUCUGUCACCCCGCCAGUCGCCACUGUAUUAUCUUGCUUUAUUUUUCUUCAUAGUAUUUAUUGAUAAUUUAUGUGCUUAUUAUGUCUCCCUGACUGGAAUGUAAGUUUCAUGAAGGCCAGGACUUGUGCCUUAAAACAGGGCCUGGCACAGAGUAGGCACUUAAUGUGUAUUUUUGAAAGUGAAUUGUGGGCUGAAAAUUCUGAUUUUUCAAAAAAGUUAAUAAAGGUGAAGGCCUUCCUUGCCUUUAUUAAAUGCUUAAAAUGGAUCAGUGGUGGGGUAGAGAUGGAAGGAGUCACACACAUACUGUACCUUCAACGGGUUUCAAUCUAACUGGGAGACAAAAUAUAGAAACAUGAAACAAGCAGAGAGCAAAUCUCUAGGUACCUAAGAGUUAAUUAAGUACUAAGGGUGUACUUAAAUUUGUGAGGGAGGAAGGGGAAGAGGACUGUCCAGAGGUAUGGCUAACUACCAAAAACUCUCUGGAGCAGACAGCUUUGGCAGCAGACUGAGAGCAGGGUUCUCCAAUUUGAGCUUGCAGAAGAAUCACCUGGAAGGCUUCUAAAACCUAUACUAUUGGCCCCACCCCCAGAGUUUCUGAUUCACUAGAUCUGGAUUAUACCUGGGGAUCUUUUUUUUUUUAGACAGAGUCUUGCUCUGUUACCCAGGCUGGAGUGCAGUGGCACUAUCAUAGCUCACUGCAACCUCGAACUCCCCGGUUCAAGGGAUCCUCCCACCUCAGCCUCCCCAGUAACUGGGAUUUCAGGCAUGUGCCACCAAGCCCGGCUAAUUUUUUUUUUUUUUUUUUUGAGAUGGAGUUUCAUUCUUGUUGCCCAGGCUGGAGUGCAAUGGUGCAAUCUCAGCUCACUGCAAUCUCUGCCUCCUGGGUUCAAGUGAUUCUCCAGCCUUGCCUCCUGAGUAGCUAGGAUUACAGGCAUGUGCCACCACGCCCAGCUAAUUUUGUAUUUUUAGUAGAGAUGGGGUCUCACCGUGUUGGCCAGGCUGGUCUUGCACUCCUGACCUCAGGUGAUCCACCCACCUCAGCCUCCCAAAGUGCUGGGAUUACAGGUGCCCACUGCCGUGCCCAGCUUAAUUUCAGUAUUUUUAGUAGAGAUAGGGUUUCUCUAUGUUGGCCAGGCUAGUCUCAAACUCCUGACCUCAGGCGAUCCACCCACCUUGGCCUCCCAAAGUGCUGGGAUUACAGGCCUGAGCCACCACACCUGGCCUCACCUGUAUUUUAAAUUGAGUUUUACUGGGUAACAGCCAUGGUCAUUCAUUUACAUAUUGUCAAAGGCUGCUUUCAAGCUACAACAGCAGAAUUUAACAGUCUCAAGACCAUAUGGCCUGCAAAGCCUAAAAUAUUUACUGGCCCUUUACAGAUAAAGUUUGCUGACCCCUAGAGAGGAAGUCAUGGCCCAUGGCUGGCAGAUGGAAGCCUCAGGACCUGAAGAUUUCUCAAAGAAAGGGACCUGCUGCUGACAGCAAUUAAUAUAUGUUCACAGCUUGCAGCUGAAGCCUGAUGAUGGCUGUAGGAGAAAGGACAUCACCCAGAUGACAUUUUGCCUCCAAAGCUCUGGGGACCAAUUGUGGAAGAACUGCAGGGAUAUUAUGUUAGAAUGUUCUUGUGUCUGGAUAGGAUGAGAACUGUCUUAUAACAAAGUGCAGCCCCCAUGUCUGAGGGCAUGUUUCCUGUGUUUAGGCACUUCCGAAGCAGGGAGCACCUUCAAGGGGCACUGGCCUUCCCAGAAACAGUGUUUGACCUGUGAUGAUGUCCUGGGGGAGGGGACCUAGGAAAAGACCUUAGCCUUUCCAUAAGGCACGAUUAUUCUCCUCUAUAGAGCCUCAAAAGUCAAGUCAAGUAGCAAGCACACUGUGCUCCAGUCUGUGGCCACAGACACACACAAGGACUGGAGCAAAACCAAACAUAGUGUAUCAUCACCGCUGAACCCCCAGGAGCCCCCAGAUGCUUUUGAACGUGAAAGGAGAAAGAAGCUGUCAGAGAUCAGGUUGAAUGUGGUGGGUUAGGUGUGCGGCAUUGCCUCUGGGUCCCUGCUUUGGUUUAAUUAAACUAAGUCUGGUGGUGAAUUGGUUCCCAAAUGUUCAUUGGUGGAUGGGCGGCAUCAGAAUUGUCUACAUCUUUUAAAAAACACGUACGCAAAACCUAUGCAUGUCUUCCUCUGAGAGUUUGAUUUUCAGCAGGCUUGGGGUGGAUUCCUACUUUUAAGAACUCCCCACGCCCGUCCUAAGUGAUUGUGAUUCCCAGUAAGUGAAUGCUGACAAAUUGAACCUUCCAGCAUGGACAUUUAUUUAUGAAAUAAAUGGACAUUAAUUUCACAGUCUUUCUAUGGAUUCGAGGUGGUGCUGGAUCCACAGGCUCACCUGGCCCCCUAGCUUUCUCUGCAGAAUCUGCCAGUGUGCCUUCAAUCCCAAAAGAAGUCGCUUUUCAUGUGCUGCUGGAGCUUUUGAUUGGCGGUGACUGAGAUGGGACUUUAAGUUCUCACCAGGAUGCAAAGUGGGGUUCCAACUUUACUGCUUUCUGAACCCUGCUGAUCUGUCCCCAACCAAGGCUUGAUUUUCUUCUGAAGCGCAGUAUUUUUAAACUGUGGUUGAAAUCUAUUCAUGGGCUAUAAAAUCAGUUGUUGAGGAUGUAACCAUUUUGAAUUAAUUUUUAAUUCAAAAAAUUAGACUAGAAAUUUUUAAUUUUAAUUCAAAAAAUAGACUAGAAAAAAAUCAGAGUGCAUCAUGUAUGGUAGGGAUAAGUGUAAUUCUUUCUGUAAAACUUGUUUUGGAGGGUAUGUUGUGCAUUGGGCUUCUGUGUAUUUCUUACUACGUUUCACAGGGAAACUGCUGUCAUCUCUGCAGUACAAUAUAGAUCAACAAUGGCCCUAACUUCCCUAAGACAGCUCUCAUGUCUGCUUGCAGAGAACAGAUGGAAAAAGUCACCAGGGAGGGUAGAUUGCCAUAUACAAGUACUUCAGGGAGGCUACCUGGAAACUAAUAGAAAACCAGUUUAUGGAUGAUUGCAGAGCCUGGGGAGAGAAAUCAAUCUUGGACAGUUUUAUGGAUGGCAGCGUGGGCUCCCGGGCCCCAAGCAGGAUCCCUUAGGGCUGAUCUCUUACCACACACUGGUCUGACUUGGUGACCUGGAAGAGGACAGUCAGAGCCAACAGGAUGAGGGGACCAGCUUGGAGAGCAUCUAUUGUAUGCCACCCUUGAGUGGCUGGAAAUGUCUUCUGCCACUUUGCAAGGGGCUGGGGGCUGGGGAGUGGGAGUGGCAAGGGAACACGGGGUGGUAGAUUGUUCCCAGGGCUGCUGGUUUUGGAGCAGUCUGACUACCCUCUCUUCUUAGUGGGAAAGAAAGGAGGAAGAAGGGGGAAGGGAUGCUUUUGGAGGGGAGCUCUAAGGGUGGGAGAAAAGAAAGCCUGAAAGAACAUCACUAAAGGGUCUGAAGUUAAAGACUCCAAUGAACAAGAAGCCCCUAAUUCAAACAGUGCCACUAACACCAAAACCUGUAAAGUGGUCCAGAGAGACCCUGGUCAUGUCUGUAACUUUCCUUUUUAAAGCUCUCGUGAAGUUAAUGAAUGAAAAAAUUGCUAAUGCAAAGAUGGAAAUUAAUAAAAACAAAAGCGUGCUUCAUAUUGCAGGGUGACCACCUCUAAUCCUACCAGUGAUCCUGUGGCUGUCCCUGUAACUUCCUUUGGCAACACCAUGCUUUGAGAAGCUGUGGGGAAGGCUGGCCAGGGAGAGAGCCUCACCCCCCAAUUCUGCCAGCUGAUCCCCCAGAGGGCUGCAAGGCUCCUGAUUUACCCAGACCUCUGGAGUGGCUGAGGCUGGGCUCUGGGGUUGGAUGGUUCUCACCAAGAGGCCUGGGACAUCUGCUCUGUGCUAAGCUCCGAGGCAGACCACAGAGGAGAUAAUGACUAAUCGGACCUUCACAUACAUUGUACAUGCCUUUUCUGAACUGAAAAAGAGAAGAACAAACAAGAUAAAAAUAUUGAAAAAAAAGAAGAAUCAAAUGUGUAGAAAAUGCAAGGUCAUUAGAACUGCCCAGGGCUUCAUUCAGGCAAAGAUCUUGAGGGUCUGGCCAGGGACCUGCUGAGUAAAUCUAGCUCUGGUUCCCCUCCCACAGAUUCCCUGCGCCUCCUCCAACUGCAUAACCAAAUCUCCCCACCUCCCAACUUUCCUUGAGCUAUUCUGCUGUUUUCUUCACUUUAGUUUUCUCACUGUAACCC